rnacentral:rRNA from 1 species
CCCGGUACCGUUCGUACACCACCGCCCGCNAAGCCAUGGGAGUCGGGAGGACCUGAAGGCAGUUGCUGUGAGGCGCUGUUUAGGGUAAAACCGAUGACUAGGGCU